GACGAACGCUGGCGGCGUGCCUAAUACAUGCAAGUAGAACGCUGAAGGAGGAGCUUGCUUCUCUGGAUGAGUUGCGAACGGGUGAGUAACGCGUAGGUAACCUGCCUGGUAGCGGGGGAUAACUAUUGGAAACGAUAGCUAAUACCGCAUAAUAGCAGUUGUUGCAUGACAACUGUUUGAAAGGUGCAAUUGCACCACUACCAGAUGGACCUGCGUUGUAUUAGCUAGUUGGUGGGGUAACGGCUCACCAAGGCGACGAUACAUAGCCGACCUGAGAGGGGGAUCGGCCACACUGGGACUGAGACACGGCCCAGACUCCUACGGGAGGCAGCAGUAGGGAAUCUUCGGCAAUGGACGGAAGUCUGACCGAGCAACGCCGCGUGAGUGAAGAAGGGUUUCGGAUCGUAAAGCUCUGUUGUAAGAGAAGAACGAGUGUGAGAGUGGAAAGUUCACACUGUGACGGUAGCUUACCAGAAAGGGACGGCUAACUACGUG
rnacentral:rRNA from 1 species